CUGGGGCCUGAGCACAGAGAGAACUCGCCAGCCCAGGAGCUCGGCUGGCAGGAGUGGAGGGCCCCCAGGGGAGGCCCCUCUCCGCAGGGAGAGAGGGCAGGUGGGCAGGGCCCGUGGGGGAGAACACACCCAACCCACCAGUGGGGAGUGAGGCCUUGCCAGGUAUGAAACCGUUGGGGAAAGAAUGUCCAAACCAGCUGGUGCCUCCCUCAUUUCUAUCUCCAGACCAGCCCUCUCCCCUGAAAUCUGGGGUCAUAAAUCCAACUGCCUCCCUGACAAGCCUGCACUCCUGAUUUCUACCCCCAAAAGCUAUGUACGCCUCCCAACAUCUCAGCAACUCCAUCGUUUCUUAGCUCAAGCCAAAAAUCAUGAUGCUAUCCUUGACUCCAAGCCUUCGGCACAUUCUACUUGCCUUUUUUUUU
rnacentral:lncRNA from 1 species